CUUGGGACCAGAUAAUGUCCACACACUUGAGCCCACGCCGUUCACUGGCCUUCCUUAGAAAAGCUCUGCCCUCAAGCCAAGAAGAAUCUGUGUACAAAGCCCACAUCCAGGCCACUGGAUGCCUCAGACUGGCUGGAGGACUCCAACUUCAGGGAGAAAGAAUUUUGGUACCCCUGAGAGUUUCCCAGGCCCUUCUGAUAAGCUAUGGGAGAUAAUGAGCUCCCUGUCACAGAAGGGAUGCAAACAGAAGAGAGCCAAGCACCCGGCAAAAGUUUGGGCCAGAAGGUCUCUUCCAGGCUAGAGAGUCCAGGAGGUCAUAUCUACGCCAAGCCAGACCAAGAGUCCAAAAGCGUGAGGGGCCUCGCCUGUCCCUGAAGGACUCUGCUGAAGUUGGCACCGGCAGGCCAAAGCUGAAUUCACUCCCACUGAACUUGGCCACUGUGUGGUCUGACGGUGCCAUGCUUUCCUGGAUCCCCUGAGGGACACCUCACUCAGGGGGUGCUGAUUUCUGCACGAGGUGAGACUACAGCGCCCACCCCUCCAGGCCUCAUCA